rnacentral:rRNA from 1 species
UACGGAGGGUGCGAGCGUUGUCCGGAAUCACUGGGCGUAAAGGGCGCGUAGGCGGCUUGGCAAGUGGAAGGUGAAAUCCCUCGGCUUAACCGAGGAACUGCCCUCCAAACUGCUUCGCUUGAGACCGGGAGAGGUGAGUGGAAUUCCCAGUGUAGCGGUGAAAUGCGUAGAUAUUGGGAGGAACACCAGUGGCGAAGGCGGCUCACUGGACCGGUACUGACGCUGAUGCGCGAAAGCGUGGGGAGCAAACGGG